rnacentral:rRNA from 1 species
GCACAGGUGCUGCAUGGCCGUCGUCAGCUCGUGCCGUGAGGUGUUGGGUUAAGUCCCGCAACGAGCGCAACCCCGCCGUUAGUUGCCAGCGGUUCGGCCGGGCACUCUAACGGGACUGCCCGCGAAAGCGGGAGGAAGGAGGGGACGACGUCUGGUCAGCAUGGCCCUUACGGCCUGGGCGACACACGUGCUACAAUGCCCACUACAAAGCGAGGCCACCCGGCAACGGGGAGCUAAUCGCAAAAAGGUGGGCCCAGUUCGGAUUGGGGUCUGCAACCCGACCCCAUGAAGCCGGAAUCGCUAGUAAUCGCGGAUCAGCCAUGCCGCGGUGAAUACGUUCCCGGGCCUU